UUGUGGCCACAUAUGGAAACACA
rnacentral:siRNA from 1 species